GAUGAACGCUGGCGGCGUGCCUAAUACAUGCAAGUCGAGCGAACAGACGAGGAGCUUGCUCAUGUGACGUUAGCGGCGGACGGGUGAGUAACACGUGGAUAACCUACCUAUAAGACUGGGAUAACUUCGGGAAACCGGAGCUAAUACAGGAUAACAUGUUGAACCGCAUGGUUCAACAGUGAAAGACGGUCUUGCUGUCACUUAUAGAUGGAUCCGCGCCGCAUUAGCUAGUUGGUAAGGUAACGGCUUACCAAGGCAACGAUGCGUAGCCGACCUGAGAGGGUGAUCGGCCACACUGGAACUGAGACACGGUCCAGACUCCUGCGGGAGGAAGCAGUAGAGAAUCUUACGCGAGGGGCGAGAGCCUGACGGAGCAACGCCGCGUGAGUGAAGAAGGUCUUCGGAUCGGAAAGCUCUGUUAUUAGGGAAGAACAAAUGUGUAAGUAACUAUGAACAUCUUGACGGUACCUAGUCAGAAAGCCACGGCUAACUACGUG
rnacentral:rRNA from 1 species